rnacentral:rRNA from 1 species
CCUACGGGAGGCAGCAGUGGGGAAUUUUCGUCAAUGGGCGCAAGCCUGAACGAGCAAUGCCGCGUGAACGAGGAAGGUCUUCGGAUCGUACAAUUCUGUUUAAGGGGAAGAAGAGCGGCGAGAGGCAAUGAACUCCGAUGGAUAUUACCCUUCGAGACAGUCACGGCUAACUACGUGCCAGCAGCCGCGGUAGUACGUAGGGGUCGAGCGUUAUCCGGAAUGAUUGGGCGUAAGGGGUGCGUAGGCAGCCUGCUAAGGCUGGAGUGAAAGGUACCGGCUCAACCGGCACAGGGUCUGGAAACGUGCGGGUGAGAGAGCAGGAGAGGGCGGUGGAAAUACAUGUGUAGCGGUAAAAUGCGUAGAUAUACGGAAGAAAACCAGUGUCGAAGGCGGCCGUACGGCCUGUCGACUGACGCUGAGGCACGAAAGCGUGGGGAGCAAAUAGGAUUAGAUACCCCUGUAGUC